rnacentral:lncRNA from 1 species
AUAAGGUCAGCUCCUUAGCUUCCCUUUGUUCUACCGCUACUCGAAAAAUUAUGCGCUUUUAACAUUGUUCCAUUGCUAUGACUAUGACACAUUGAUUCUCUUUCGACUGAUUACCAUAUCGUGUUGCAAUCAAUUGACAGUCUCUGUGAUUAAGUUGCAACUUGAAUGUUUUCUUGCCUACUUCUAACUUUGGGUGUUUCAUUCUGCACACUGUUAUUGGGAUGACCAUGAUCAUGUAAGCACCAAUAUUCUGUUGGAAAUUCAAAUUAAAAGCCAUGUGAUGUCUAACUAUCUGUCCAUGUGAUGCUAGCUUUUCUUUCCAGGUUGUAUCCAGCAAAUAUAAACAUCAUUGCUCCUCCAUUUGUUAACCGAAAGCUGAUUUAAAGACGGCAGAGAUGUGAGCUGCUGUGUGCUAGCCGAAAGGUUGUGUUUGCAAGCUGGAAGGAUGCAAUGCAUGUGUGUGCCAACUAUCCAAAGUUGCUGCAUGUGUUUGAAAGGGUGGAAAGAGG